rnacentral:tRNA from 1 species
GCCCCCGUAGCUCAGGGGACAGAGCGCGGACCUCCUAAGUCCGGCGUCGCAGGUUCGAGUCCUGCCGGGGGCG